rnacentral:rRNA from 1 species
GACGAACGCUGGCGGCGUGCUUAACACAUGCAAGUCGAGCGGUAAGGCCCUUUCGGGGGUACACGAGCGGCGAACGGGUGAGUAACACGUGGGUGACCUGCCCUUAGCUCUGGGAUAAGCCUGGGAAACUGGGUCUAAUACCGGAUAUGACUCCAUGACGCAUGUUGUGGGGUGGAAAGCCUUGUGCGGCUAGGGAUGGGCCCGCGGCCUAUCAGCUUGUUGGUGGGUGAUGGCCUACCAAGGCGACGACGGGUAGCCGGCCUGAGAGGGCGACCGGCCGACACUGGGACUGAGACACGGCCCAGACUCCUACGGGAGGCAGCAGUGGGGAAUCUUGCGCAAUGGGCGAAAGCCUGACGCAGCGACGCCGCGUGA